ACCUUUCUCAUCUCUCUCAUAGAUGGCGCGUGUAUGUUUUGUUCAAAGAUUCCAAAUAGUGUGCUUAAUUCCAAUUUUGAAUACUCGAACUCAGAUGAAGUUCCCGAAGAAGAAGCAAUGACGGUAUCUGGGGAAUAAGCAUCGGUUAACUCUGUGCCAGCAAGCGCGGUAAGACAAAGGAUGCAAGCAUUAUCCGGAAUGAUUGGGCGUAAAGGUCUGUAAGUGGCUUUUUAAGUUCGCCGUCAAAUCCCAGGGCUCAACCCUGGACAGGCGGUGGAAACUACCAAGCUGGAGUACGGUAGGGGCAGAGGGAAUUUCCGGUGGAGCGGUGAAAUGCAUAGAGAUCGAAAAGAACACCAACGACGAAAGCACUCUGCUGGGCCGAUACUGACACUGAAAGACGAAAGCUAGGGGAGCGAAUGGGAUUACAUACCCCAGUAGUCCUAGCCGUAAAUGAUGAAUACUAGGCGCGGUGCGUAUCGACCCGUGCAAUGCUGUAGCUAACGCGUUAAGUAUCACACCUGGAAAGUACGUUCGCAAGAAUGAAACUCAAAGGAAUUGAGGGGGGUGCAUUUCAAUUAUAAUUUGUCAUGAAAUGAAAAAUCAUCAUUAACUUUUAUAAUAAUUAUUUCAAAU
rfam:Glycine soja cultivar W05 scaffold2787_31, whole genome shotgun sequence.